rfam:Schistosoma margrebowiei strain Zambia genome assembly, scaffold: SMRZ_scaffold0005422
ACCUUACUGACGAGUGCCAAAAAGCACGAAACCCGGGUCUAGAGU